GUCUCUGUAGGCACAAAAGGUCAAGCGCUUGGCUACUAACCAAAAGGUUGGAGGUUUGAGUCCACCCAAAGGCA
rnacentral:tRNA from 1 species